GCAUCCGUAGCUCAGCUCGAUAGAGUACUCGGCUACGAACCGAGCGGUCGGAGGUUCGAAUCCUCCCGGAUGCACCA
rnacentral:tRNA from 1 species